CAAGCGGUGGAGCAUGUGGUUUAAUUCGAAGCAACGCGAAGAACCUUACCAGGUCUUGACAUCCUUUGACCACUCUAGAGAUAGAGCUUCCCCUUCGGGGGCAAAGUGACAGGUGGUGCAUGGUUGUCGUCAGCUCGUGUCGUGAGAUGUUGGGUUAAGUCCCGCAACGAGCGCAACCCUUAUUGUUAGUUGCCAUCAUUNAGUUGGGCACUCUAGCAAGACUGCCGGUGACAAACCGGAGGAAGGUGGGGAUGACGUCAAAUCAUCAUGCCCCUUAUGACCUGGGCUACACACGUGCUACAAUGGGAAGUACAACGAGUUGCGAAGUCGCGAGGC
rnacentral:rRNA from 1 species